GGCCCGCUGGCUCAAUGGUAGAGCGUCUGACUACGAUUCAUUCAGUUAUCAGGAGGUUCCAGGUUCGAGACCUGGGUGGGUCG